CCUACGGGACGCAGCAGUGGGGAAUAUUGCACAAUGGGCGAAAGCCUGAUCCAGCCAUGCCGCGUGUGCGAAGAAGGUCUUCGGAUUGUAAAGCACUUUAAGUUGGGAGGAAGGGCAGUAAGUUAAUACCUUGCUGUUUUGACGUUACCGACAGAAUAAGCACCGGCUAACUCUGUGCCAGCAGCCGCGGUAAUACAGAGGGUGCAAGCGUUAAUCGGAAUUACUGGGCGUAAAGCGCGCGUAGGUGGUUCGUUAAGUUGGAUGUGAAAGCCCCGGGCUCAACCUGGGAACUGCAUCCAAAACUGGCGAGCUAGAGUACGGUAGAGGGUGGUGGAAUUUCCUGUGUAGCGGUGAAAUGCGUAGAUAUAGGAAGGAACACCAGUGGCGAAGGCGACCACCUGGACUGAUACUGACACUGAGGUGCGAAAGCGUGGGGAGCAAACAGGAUUAGAUACCCCGGUAGUC
rnacentral:rRNA from 1 species